rnacentral:lncRNA from 1 species
UUGAUAACAUCAUCAAAAUCGAUUGAAUUUGCUACUUCACUUUUUAUUGACAGAAUCAUCAUGCAUCUGUUAAUGGUAUCAUCAUUCUGUAAAAAGUUAAUCAAAAUCGGUGUUUUUUAAUUGGGUAAUUUUCAUAGACCAUGGGGCCGGGUUCGGGGAACGCGCUGAACCUGCCUUGUGCCAUCCCUGCACACAUACAAGGAAUGCUGGGAACACCAAAUCACAUGACACAUACUGAGCCCUCUGGUGGUUGAAAUGCAUAUUAUACAAAAUAUAUCAUAAUAUAUGACAUACAGCAAAUAUUAUUGACAUUGCUACAACAAAUAAUUAUCA